rnacentral:tRNA from 1 species
GGGAUUGUGGCUCAGUGGUAGAGCACUCACCUAGCACGUGUGAGGCCCUGGGUUUGAUGCUCAGCACCA